rfam:Macaca mulatta chromosome 10, whole genome shotgun sequence.
GGAUGUCAGGGCUAUCUAGCUGUAACAUCUGUCACCCUAUUGAUCACCAAGGUUGAUCUGGCUGAUCUAGCUGGCUGGGCAGGGGUCCCCUUCCCCUCUCACCACUCUAUGUACAUCCUUCCCAAAGCCGCACACUUGAAGAGGAUGACCGUCUCUGAUAGAGGAGGACCAGUCUUCGGUCAAGGGUAUGCCUCCAAACCUCCAAACAAGUUCUCAAAACAGAGGAUUCAUGUAAAGUACUU